GCCAAAAUAGCUCAGUUGGGAGAGUGUUAGACUGAAGAUGUCAAGAUCCCUGGUUUGAGCCCAUGUUUUGGUG
rnacentral:tRNA from 1 species